rnacentral:lncRNA from 1 species
AUGUCAUUCGGAUUGGAUAAGUGUAGUCGGAUGGUAACAAAGAGAGGGAAGGUAGUCAGAACUGAGGGGAUUGUACUACCAGAAGGCAACAUAGCAGAUGUUGAGGACAGCUACAAGUACCUUGGAAUCCCGCAGGUGCAUGGGAAUCAUGAAGAGGCCGCAAGGAAAGCAGCAACUGCCAAAUACCUGCAGAGAGUAAAGCAAGUCCUGAGAAGUCAGCUGAAUGGGAAGAACAAGGUCCGGGCUAUCAACACCUAUGACCUGCUGGUCAUCAGAUACCCCGCUGGCAUAAUAAGCUUGCCAAAAGAGGAGAUAGAAGCCACUGACAUCAAGACAAGGAAGCUCCUGACAAUGCAUGGAGGGUUUCACCCCAAAUCCAGCACCCUGAGGCUGUACACUAAGCGGAAAGAAGGAGGCCGAGGACUAGUGAGCGUCAGAGCCACUAUCCAGGAUGAAACAACAAAGAUCCUUGACUACAUCAGGAAGAUGGCCCCGACUGAUGAGAUACUUAGUGAAUACCUCAGGCAGCAGAAACCCGAGAAGGAGGACGAGGAAGAACAGGAACCACCAUGGAAGUACAAACCCCUACACGGUAUGUACCACCGGCAGAUUGAAGAAGGGGCUGAUAUCGAAAAAUCAUACCAGCGGCUGGACAAAGCUGGACUGAAAGACAGCACAGAGGCACUAAUCAUAGCAGCACAGGAACAAGCGCUAAGUACAAGAUCAAUAGAGGCCGGGGUCUACCACACCAGGCAGGACCCCAGGUGCAGGCUGUGCAAAGAUGCCCCUGAGACAAUCCAGCACAUAACAGCAGGGUGUAAGAUGCUAGCAGGCAAGGCAUACAUGGAACGCCAUAACCAAGUGGCUGGCAUAGAGUACAGGAACAUCUGUGCCGAGUAUGGGCUGGAAGUCCUAAGAUCAAAGUGGGAUACACCCCCAAGGGUGGUCGAGAAUGACCAAGCUAAGAUCUUGUGGGACUUCCAGAUCCAGACUGACAAACUGGUAAUGGCUAACCAACCAGACAUAGUAGUGGUGGACAAACAGAGGAAGAAAGCCGUAGUGAUAGAUGUCGCCAUCCCAAGCGAUGGCAACAUCAGAAAGAAAGAACAUGAGAAGCUUGAGAAAUACCAAGGACUGAGAGAGGAGCUAGGAAAGAUGUGGAAGGUGAAGGCAACAGUGGUCCCCGUGGUAAUCGGAACACUUGGGGCUGUGACCCCUAAGCUGGGAGAGUGGCUCCGGCAGAUCCCGGGAACAACAUCCGAGAUCUCUGUCCAGAAGAGCGCGGUCCUAGGAACAGCUAAGAUACUGCGCAGAACUCUCAAGCUCCCAGGCCUCUGGUAG